AUUGAACGCUGGCGGCAGGCCUAACACAUGCAAGUCGAACGAGUGGCGGACGGGUGAGUAAUGUAUGGGAAACUGCCCGAUGGAGGGGGAUAAAUACUGGAAACGGUAGCUACUACAGCAUACCAUCAGAUGUACCCAGAUGGGAUUAGCUAGUUGGUGGGGUAACGGCUCACCAAGGCGACGAUCCCUAGCUGGUCUGAGAGGAUGACCAGCCACAUGGGAACGGAGACACGGACCAGACUCCUACGGGAGGCAGCAGUGGGGAAUAUUGCACAAUGGUCGCAAGCCUGAUGCAGCCAUGCCGCGUGUAUGAAGAAGGCCUUCGGGUUGUAAAGUACUUUCAGCGGGGAGGCGUUACCCGCAGAAGAAGCACCGGCUAACUCCGUGCCAGCAGCCGCGGUAAUUC
rnacentral:rRNA from 1 species